ensembl:lncRNA
UAACAGUACAUAAUACUGUCAUUUUGUGGAAAUACAAUGCUUUAUCACAAAUACCAUGAUAUGGCAAAAAUACUAUGAUUCAGCAGAAAUACUAUGAUUGAGCAGAAGUACUAAGAUGUAGUAAAAGUACUUUGAUUUAACAGAAAUGCAAUUAUGGAGGAGUAAUACUUUGAAAUGGGAAAAAUAUUGAUACACACACAGAUACACAGAGCCUAAAGGGAACAGUAUUUGUGCCAUGGAGUGUUAAGAAGAAUCUGAGGUCCAUAUUAGAAAAGCUGCUAAAAUCAUAAAAGUUUGCAGAAUUGUAAUAAAUGAUGAAUAUGAAUUACUUGUCUGUGAUAGUGUAUUAAUUUCUAGGGGAAAAAAAAAUGUUAAUCAAGGUGGAAUUGAACCCGUGAUCUUUAGACUGCCGACCGGCGUCAUUACCAACUGUGCCACUGGGAAACAGAGCAGCGGUUUGGAAAACGGGGAGAUGAACUGUCAGAUUUAGAUCGCGGUGAGAGGCGUAAAACGCUGAUUUUUGGAGUUACAAAACGUCAUGUAACUCCAAAACUAGGUGGGAUAGAAGCACAAUUCUUGUACUGGGUGAAUCAGCAGACUUUGCUGAACUUUCACUGCGAUUUUCAUUGCUCCUUUUACCUCCGUCACGGAGAUAUGACGAGAGAAGAAAGGGCAGACCUCAGAUAUGAUUGGCUGGCUGGGAAGCCGUGCAGGCCCUGAUAUGUAUUUGUAUGUAUCAGUCCUCACAGAGGAUUAGCUGCCUGGGGACCUGGCAGAAAUAUAUAGAAAUAGUAUGAUUAAGCAUAAAUACUACAUUUUUUAGAAAAACUAUAUUAAGCACAAAUCCUAUAAAAAGCAGAAAUAAUAUAUUAAGCAAUAUAAAUAUCCUCUAAAAAUCCUAUAAAAAGCAGUAAAACUGUACUAUGAUUUGGUAGAAAAACCCUAAAUAAUCAAAAAUACUAAAUUUGGCAGAAAUAGCAGAAACACUAUAUUUAGCACAAAUCUUAUGAAAUAGCAGAAAUAGUAUGAUUUAGCAGAAAAGCUGUAUUUAGCUCAAAUCUCAUGAAAUGGCAGAAAUAGUAUAAUUUAGCAGAAAUGCUGUAUUUAGCAGAAAUUCUGAAAAGCAGCAGAAAAGCUAUGACUUAGCACAACAGUAAUAACUUAAAUGGAAAAUUUGGAAAAGCAAAAUGGACAGCUGAAAAAAUCCUGAACAUGCUAAGGGUCCCUCAAAUGUAAUUGUGAAAUGAAAAAAAAAAUCAGCAAAAAAACAGUAUAACAGUCACACAAUCACAAAUAUGGACACAUAUGGAAACACACAUGCACAGAGAGACACACACAGGAUCAAAUUCAGUCAACCAGUCUAAAUAUAUUGAAUCUAAAUCAUACAAUAAGAUGCUCCCAUAAAAACUCUCUCUCGCCCUCUCUUUCUCUCUCUCUCUGUCACACACACACACACACACACACACACACACACACAGGGAGAGAGAAGCAAGUUUCUAGGUCAGUCAAGCAGCCUGGGAGCUGCUGAAUUUGAAUCCACCAAUCAGAGAGGCUGUGUGCUUUUUCCCGCCAAAACAGGUGCACGCAGCACAGAGAGACACAGGAUUUUUGCAGUCUAUUUCUCAUAGUGAGGACUCCCCUCAAACAAAUGACCAUAAUUUCCUAACCGUAGGGGCUAGAACGGUCAUUCUUACACCGUUUUGUUCAGAAGAGAUGGGGGAAUCUUAAAGUGUUGACAAUUUAUCAUUAAAAUAUGAAUUAUUAAAGAUAUUUGACUUGUAAUGCACCAUAACUGAGUAGAGGCGAAGCAAAAACUGCCUUGACCUGCCCUCAAACAACGCUUUCUAACUCUAAAUCUAUUUGGAGUAUCGAUAUCAUUCUUUCACCGUAAGAGUCAGCAGGCUUUGGUGAACAGUCAUGGAAAUUUUCAGGUCUGUGUGGAAAUCCAUCAAAAAGAUAUGACGAGAGAAAAAAGUGCCUCAUUUCCAGAGUUUGAAAUCUGAAGAAAUCUGAGCGAAGGACGAAUUUCCUACCCUCAAACAAGUCUAACUCAUCUCAGAACAGUAAUAGGUGAGAAAAUAAUUCUUGAAUUGUGAGCGUCAUGAGUGUCUGAAGAUAUACGGGGACAAGCCUCAUGUCUUAACUUCGCUUCGUUAAGGAGAUAUGACGAUUCGAAAAUGCCUCUCAUUAUAGAAAUUAAGCGGUGAUUUUGAUCAAACUCUCCAUUGACUUUCUAUGGAGAGUUUUUCGACUUUGUGUUGGUCUGAGGAGAUUUGCCAAAAUUCUAUAAAUCCCACAACAAUGAUAGUGACAUUUUCUGAAAGCCAGCAAAAAUACCUACGUUUUGAUGUAUAAUUUGUGGGAGUUGAGUGAAAAUUAAUCAAGUAGCAAGAAGUUGUUCGGACAUGAAGAGAAAAUUGCCAAAGGUACAGUGGCUCACUUAGAACCAACUGCAUAGCAACCAUAACAACGCAUGUAUUUUGUGAAAAAUCACAAAGAUGAAACUCAAAACUUAAAGAGGGAUAAGAUGAAAACGGUAACAGAUAUGAAAAAGCUGAAUCAUUCAUGAAUAGCCCAAUAAUUUGUGAACAUUUUAAAGUUUGAAUGGUUGUUCUAGGCGAAAGUAUGAGAAAGUAGUUAAGUUUCAAAAACGAGCAAGUUUUAGCAGAAUUGCAGAAAUUUCCCAUUCAUUUCAAUGGGACAAAUUAAAGGAAAAAAGCUUAAUAUUUUAAAAAGUAUAACAGCAAAAAAUACCAAAAGUCAUAGCACACAUUAGCAGAAAUAGCAGAAUAGUUUAAAAUUUGAACGGUGAAAAUCGGCUGAAAAUUGUGAAAGUAGUUAAGUGCCAAAAAACGUACAAAAAGUGGCAACUGGAAUAAUAAAGAAUAAAGAGAAACAGGAACUCAAUAGUGUGGAUGCCUAAAGCAUCCACACAAUAAUAAUAAAGAAUAAAGAGAAACAGGAACUCAAUAGUGUGGAUGCCUAAAGCAUCCACACAAUAAAGAAUAAAGAGAAACAGGAACUCAAUAGUGUGGAUGCAUAAAGCAUCCACACAAUUAGCUCUGACUAUGAGAUAAAGGAGAACAACAGCCUGAUACCUGCAGGCCUGACAACAGGAGAUGUAUCACUCCUGUAACACCUGUAACAUUCAGCAGUCGCCUCAUUGUUCUGACACACAACAAAACUAUUGACUACACUACACACUAACUACACAAGAUUUGUCGCAAAUCUCUCACAUCUCAAACACCGCCGUCACUCCUAAAACUUUCCCCUUCCUAAACAACUAAAUGCCAUGUUGCCAUAUCAUUUUUGGAUUGGUCAACAUGGUACAUUUCUCCACCAAUAGGAAAGGGUGGUGUUUUUUUGGUUUUGUUUUUGCACACAGGCUUUCGAGCGUUUUCCUUAUAAAACGCCGUUUUUACCGUUUCUUCCUGCAGUAAAUAUAAACAACAAUAGUAUUCAGGAAGAAAACCAAACAUUGCAGAUAUUUUUAUCGUAACUCUGGUUUUACGUGGCCUAUCAACACAAUUUAAAAACUGGUAUAAAGUCCACACUUUUUCCGUCAAUUGUUCCGUCUGUCCUGCUCACAUCUCCAAUGGUUGUACAUGUUGUCAUUCACGUGGCUUCACUCCACAUCAGCCACGCCGCUUUGCUAGCUAAAACUCCGGUGUCGGCACAUAAGGACGCUGUCAUAGCCUGUCAACCACGUUGAUUGGCUGCGUAUAUACGAAUGUGGAUCGCAUUAUUGGCUGGACUAUGAGAUAAGGUGGCAUCGUUCUAAUCCCAUACAGGAGCAGCCAGUCACUUACUGACUAACACUGCAAAACAGAAUUGUUGAAGUUUUAAUUUUAAUUUCAAUUCAGGUUAGAUUUUUUUUGGUGCACAACGCAGGUUUUCUGUGCGCAGAGACCGUGCCAGCUGUGCGCAAUUGCGCACGUGCACAGCUUAGAGGGAACAUUGCUCACCACUAUUGUUCUCCCUCUACACCAGUGACUGCACCUCCAAGAACUCGGCUGUUAAACUCCUAAAGUUUGCAGAUGACACCACCGUCAUUGGCCUCAUUCAGGAUGGUGAUGAGUCUGCGUACAGGCAGGAAGUUGAGCAGCUGAUACUCUGGUGCAGUCACGCACAAUCUGGAGCUGAACAUGCUUAAGACUGUAGAGAUGACAGUGGACUUCAAGAGACAUCCCUCAACACUACCAUAUCAGACAGCCCUGUGUCAACUGUGAAGAUCUUCAAGUUCCUGGGUACCACCAUCUCCCAGGACCUGAAGUGGGAGACCAACAUCAACUCCAUCCUCAAAAAGUAUUGUGUUGCUUACAUUGUUGAGAUAUACAUCGCUGUGCUUCAGAUUCACCAUGUACCGGAACCAGAUUCCUUGUAUGUGUCUGUGCAUAUACACGGCCACUAAAUGUGAUUCUGAUUCUGAUUCU